UAGAAUCCCACAAGAUCUGUAUGAGACCAGGACGACUAAUUGUCUCAAUUUGCAAACGAGGAACAACAAGGGAUAGGUAAUGGAGCUGUGACUCGGAGUACAGAAUCUAUGCUCUUAACCACCAUGACCUGGGGCUGUGGAGAGGACACACCCGUCGCCUCGGAUUCCCAGGAGCCUGCUUGAGUGGCGGCUGUCAGGUCGAAUGAGUAACUUGUUUCUGUUGGCUCCGCCCCAGGCUUGGCGGAAUCGCACAGGUGAGCUCCUGCGUGCGUGGACCCCUCAAAGCGCCUAUAUGCUCCUGCGCCCCUGGCCAUACCCAAGUGACACAUGGAUCCCGUCCCGCCGCCAAGCCCGUGAGGCCGUGUCCUUCCGCAGGCCUAGCUGCGCGCUUCCUUCCCCUCCUCCUUGCGCGGAGGUGGUGGUGGUGGUGAUACAGAUAUAAAAGGCUGCCCCAUGUCGGGGAAGCUUUCAGCCAAAGCUUAGGAAAGAGUAAACAAACCGUGAGGAAGGUCCUGAUAUUUAUUGAGCAGCUGCUGUAAAUCAGGCAAGGGGCUUGCACUGUUGCAAGAUAGGUUUUAUCCCAUUCUACAGAGGAAGAAGCUGAGACUCGGGGAGGUCACGCCUGAGCUAGUGAUGGGAUUCAAACUCGAGUGGCAUUCUGCCAGAUGUGGAAGCCCCUUCCCUCCACCUUGCUGCCUCUAGGGUGGGGGAAUCCUGGAAGACUUCUCAGAAGAGGUGGUGUGUGGACUGAUCCUUGAGGACCCUUUGAAGAUAAUAUUUUUAGGUAAGGUGUGGCCAACUGCAAUCAGGAUGGGCCUUAAUCCUAUUCCUGGGGGCUUAAUGAAGACAAAGCCACAGGAGGAGCCCAAGCUGGAAGUCAAGAGAACCUGAAAGAGAAAGGAGAGGACAGUUACCCUGUGAGCAGAAGUCAAGGACCCAAGGAGAGUGAGCAGCCAGCCCCAGAACUCCACAGUCUUUGGGGAGAAGCUGUUGUCUUGCUGAGGCCUUGAUUUUGUUCCUAGCCUGAAAACUAUGAACCAAUAA